UGUGGGAGCGAGCUUGCUCGCGAUGACGGUGUGUCAGGCACUCAUGAUGUCGACUGACACUCCGCUAUCGCGAGCAAGCUCGCUCCCACA
rnacentral:misc_RNA from 1 species